UACGGGGGGAGCAAGCGUUGUUCGGAUUUACUGGGCGUAAAGGGCGCGUAGGCGGUCAGCACAAGUCAGUUGUGAAAUCUCCGGGCUUAACUCGGAAAGGUCAACUGAUACUGUGCGACUAGAGUGCAGAAGGGGCAACUGGAAUUCUCGGUGUAGCGGUGAAAUGCGUAGAUAUCGAGAGGAACACCUGCGGCGAAGGCGGCUCACUGGCCCGGUACUGACGCUGAGGCGCGAAAGCGUGGGGAGCAAACAGG
rnacentral:rRNA from 1 species